GAGGUAGUUCAAAGCCCCAUUCUAUGUGAUCUAGCAGGGGAAUUUGCAGCUUUCUCUAAAAUAGAUCGCAGAAACCAUCCGAGCAUAGUGAAGGUCAUAUGGGAGAAUAAGGGAAAUCUUCCGGAUGGGUUACCACAUCUCGUUUAUGUGUCCAGAGAGAAGCGGCCAAAGCAUCCUCAUCACUACAAAGCAGGAGCUAUGAAUGUAUUGACUAGAGUAUCGGGAGUCAUGACGAACUCCCCUUUCAUGCUGAACGUCGACUGUGACAUGUUCGCCACCGACCCCCAGACUGUUCUUCAUGCAAUCUGCCUACUGUUCGGUUUCCAACAAGAAAAAGAAAGUGCAUACGUUCAGUUUCCGCAGGUGUUCUAUGGUAGCUUAAAGGAUGACCCAUUUGGAAAUCAACUCGUAGUCUUACAAGAAGAAUCCAAGGACCCAUCUAUGGUGGAACAGGAUGCUUUCAUAGACGAAAAGUAAUAUAUGGACUAUCACCGGAUGAAGCAGACAUUAAUCUAGGAAGAAAGCUUAGUCGUCUAUUAUUGAAUGGGAAAUCACUCAAGGCAAACUUUGGGAAUUCAGUGGAAUUCAUGAAGUCGGCAUCUGAGAUACUGGCGGGGG